rnacentral:tRNA from 1 species
GGCCUGGUGGUCUAGGGGUAUGAUACUCGCUUUGGGUGCGAGUGGUCCCGGUUUCAAAUCCCGGCCAGGCCC